GACCGUCGGGCAGGAGAUAAUGGAAGAGUACUGACGUUAUCGACGCUUUCGGUUAACCGGACACCCAGCACUUGCACGUCCGCAACGCGGAGUCAAGAAAGACAGGACCAUGGCACAAAAAAAACUUAAGCAGUGCACGAAGUGGGCAGAAACGCAUCGGGAUCGGCGGCCGUCAAUGAUACGGAAGGUACAUACAUAGCAUCUCACCUUCGGGUGAGGUGCAUGAGGAUGAGAUCAAAAGGGAAGAGAGGAAAGAGAAAAAAAAAGAGGGUACGCGACGCUCGCCGCACUUACCUGCAAGAGGCGAGAGGAAAAUCCGUCGCGCCCGUUUGCCGUCUCCCGGCGUUCGCCACCGAUCAAGUGACCCUAAUUGAACACAGCGCGUGAAGAAGAACGUUCCUGGACAUGUUCCGCCGCGCGAUCACGCGUACGUGUAGUGUGCAUCGCUGGCAGGUACGGAGAAGUCACACGACGAAAAACUACGGCGCACGAUAGCGCCCAUUGUGGCUGACUAAGAUCUCUACCCCUUUCACACACUGCAACCUGCGACAAGCAGAGCAGAAGAGCCAGAAGAGACGCUGGUGAAGCCGCGUUCGCAAAACUUCACGAAGAACUCCAUCCUCGUGGCUGACCAAUCGCGAGGCGUCGCGAAGCGGGCCGAGUUUUCCGCGCGCGCGAUAAAUGUAGUUUAAAAUACCGAGCAUAAAUAAAGAGAUGUCUUGGUCGCCCACACUAGAAUCAUGCAAAAAUUUUAAUUUGAAAAAAUGAAAAAAAAAAAAUAUAUAUAUAAUGUGAUUAGAUACAUAUACAUAAUUAUACAUAAAGAGACACACACAUAAGAAACGGAUAUUGACACUUCUUUCGCUUAUGUUUGUCAAUAAGAAUUUAUCAAUAAUUAUACAUUAAAAAAGUGUUUGCAAUUUAAAAAUGAAAAAAAGAUAAAUUGAAAGAUGCCAGUAUCGUUUUAACACAAAAGAUUGCUCGGAAAGUUCAUUUCAAUUUCGCGCUCCGCGUUGCUAUGGUGAUUAGUGAGAGCGAGGGCGCUCCAAAUGAUUUUGUGUUUGUCAACAAAUCUCGAUUCUCGAUUCUGUGAGCUCAGGAACCUCGCGGGCCUUCCUAAGUAAUUGCUAUCAUUUCGAUAGAAAUCAAGUAGAAUGAUGAAAAACCAAAGUCUACUUUUGUUGUGUGAUGCUGUAUUACUUCUAAUGUGAUUUCAUGAUUUUGCAGAUCUUGAAUGGGAUGUUCUCUGUGUAUGGAGAGUCCGUCUCCACGUGCACGACUACUUGAGAGAAGCUAUGAUUCUCAAUUCGACUGGAUGUCUGAGUGCUCAACGAAAUAGGUGAACGUCAGCUGAUGGAACGUUGAACAGUGCGACGUGCUGUUUCAAUGGCAUCAAAAGGAAGAUUUUUUUUUUUUUUUUAAGAUCACAACAGGUGGUGAAAGCUGAUUUCUAUACAAUAAUGUUAGUCCUAAAAAAAACUAAUGAAAACAUCUUGAACUGAUCAACAUGAUGUUGUUUUUCAUCUUGAUAAUGCUAGAUCUCAUGUCCAUCCAUAGGAAACUACUGCAUUUUUAAUGGGACAUUCUUCCUCAUUCACUGUAUUCUCUCAAUCUUGCUCCAUUUGGCUACUAUUUAUUUCUCUCUUUGAAAAAUUUUCUUUGGAACAAAAAAUUUAAGUCUUUGGAAGUUCAGAAUUUAGUUUUGAGUAAAAUACUGCGUCCUGAAUUUACAUAAAAAAUUUGAAACAAACUUUCCAAGCACACCUAAUAGUUAAAAGAAAAAAAAACUUGUGUUUUAUAUUCUCAUCCAUAAAUUUUCUUUGUUUGCUUUAAUUCAUAUUAUGUAUUGCUAAUAUAUUCUCAUUUUAAUUCUAUUAAUCUUAUUUUUAUUACGACUGUAUUAAGGGCAUGUUUUAGCAUAAUCUAACAGUAACUUGGCAAUAGAAACAAGAAUCUGUCACAAUUGUUUAAAUGGAGAAUUCUACAUUCUUGAUGUUUGCUGACAAUCUGUCAUUGUAUUAACAGAUUCUAUUAUAAUUCUACUAACAUACUGAUAAAAUUUAUAGUGCAUACUUUACAAAAUCUGUUUUUGACAGAUAACUAUUUGGAGCUUUUAAUAAAUUCUAUCUCGCAAAUAUAAAUUGUCUUCAAAUUUCAAAUUGUCACGUAAACUUUGAAGUGUAAAACAAUGGUUUGUAAACGAAGUUCUUGAGUUUAAUAUUUCUUUAGUAUUACUUAGAUUGUCAAGAGUAUUAUGCCAUGUUUUGAAAAAAGAUUCGUAAGAAGCAAGAUAUAUAUAGCGAGAGUUGUAUCUUUAUUAUUUCAAGUAUUUGUAGCACAGGCACAAUACGUUCAAUUUGACGCUUCCGAUUAAAUUCGGAAUCAAUCGGUCUAAUCGUCAGACAUGUGAUAACCACAUGUUCUUAACGACGAGGUGUUCAAGGAUAUUCAUAUUCGAACGCAAAAUCUACGUGUGAAAACGUAAUUCCUUCUUUUUUUCAUCUUCUCUUCUGAUACGCAAUUCCGCAGCGGUUUCGAUAUAUUCGCGAUUUUUCUUAUAUAAAAAAUUUACAAAUAAACGGCUUGAAGACCGGAAGAAGUACACAUCGUACAAAAUCGGAUUAAGCAAUAACGUAAAUACAUGUUAAAGCUACAAAAAUUUUUAUGAAUUUCAAGGAAAUUAAAACGCAACUUUAUGUAUGGUAGACACUUUAACUCCGGCAGUGGUAGAAUUUGUAAUUGAUACAAUGAUAUUUUUAAAGA